CUCUGGAGAUUGCUUGUUGUGGAGUUUUGUGUGCCUACAACACUGUCCUUAUUAGGAUCAAGGCACGAGAUGGCAAGUGUGCUUCUGCAUGUAAAGCAUCCCAUGUUGUGAAAAGCUUCAUCCCAUUGAUGAAAGGGACUUUGGGAUGCCCACAGUUGAAACAGUCUGAAUCAGUUAGACAUGGGAGUAUCAACUGAAAAUUUGUAUUUUCAAAAGAAUUGGAAUGGCGACC
rnacentral:lncRNA from 1 species